rnacentral:rRNA from 1 species
GACGUAGGGCGCGAGCGUUGUCCGGAUUUAUUGGGCGUAAAGAGCUCGUAGGCGGCUCGUUGCGUCGGCUGUGAAAACCCACAGCUUAACUGUGGGCCUGCAGCCGAUACGGGCGAGCUAGAGUUCGGUAGGGGAGACUGGAAUUCCUGGUGUAGCGGUGAAAUGCGCAGAUAUCAGGAGGAACACCAAUAGCGAAGGCAGCUCGCUGGGACGGUAUUGACGCUAAGGCGCGAAAGCGUGGGGAGCAAACAGG